CUACGGGCGGCUGCAGUGGGGAAUAUUGCACAAUGGGCGCAAGCCUGAUGCAGCCAUGCCGCGUGUAUGAAGAAGGCCUUCGGGUUGUAAAGUACUUUCAGCGGGGAGGAAAGGAGUAAAGUUAAUACCUUUGCUCAUUGACGUUACCCGCAGAAGAAGCACCGGCUAACUCCGUGCCAGCAGCCGCGGUAAUACGGAGGGUGCAAGCGUUAAUCGUAAUUACUGGGCGUAAAGCGCACGCAGGCGGUUUGUUAAGUCAGAUGUGAAAUCCCCGGGCUCAACCUGGGAACUGCAUCUGAUACUGGCAAGCUUGAGUCUCGUAGAGGGGGGUAGAAUUCCAGGUGUAGCGGUGAAAUGCGUAGAGAUCUGGAGGAAUACCGGUGGCGAAGGCGGCCCCCUGGACGAAGACUGACGCUCAGGUGCGAAAGCGUGGGGAGCAAACAGGAUUAGAUACCCCAGUAGUC
rnacentral:rRNA from 1 species